GGGAUGCUCCAGGCAAGAACACUGGAGUGGGUUGCCAUUUCCUUCUCCAGUUCAUGAAAGUGAAAAGUGAAAGUGAAGUUGCUCAUUCGUGUCCGACUCUUCGCGACCCUAUGGACUGUAGCCUACCAGGCUGCUCCGUCCAUCAGAUUUCCCAGGCAAGAGUACUAGAGCCCUGGAAUAUCUUCACCUGCUCUAGUGCUUUUGCUGAAACUCCAGUACUUUGGCCACCUCAUGCGAAGAGUUGACUCAUUGGAAAAGACUCUGAUGCUGGGAGGGAUUGGGGACAGGAGGAGAAGGGGAUGACAGAGGAUGAGAUGGCUGGAUGGCAUCACCGACUCAAUGGACUGGGUUAAGAACUCGCCAGCCAAUGAAGGAGACAUACAUCGGAUCCCAGAUCUGGGAAGAUAUCCCAUGCCAUGGAGCGACUAAGCAUGUUCACCACAACCACUGAGUCCACGCACUGCAGCUACUGAAGCCUGCAUGCCUAGAGCCUGUGCUCUGUAACCAGAGAAGAAACUACAAUGAGAAUCUCAUGCACUGCGACCAAGAGUCGUCUCCACUCACUGCAACUAGAGAAAAAUCCACGUGCAGCAGGAAAGACCC
ensembl:lncRNA